GUGCGCGGCGCUGCAGGCGCGAGGGUGCACGCGCGCCCCGGCGUCUCCGCCUUCCCAGCAGCGCGAGACCCUCGCCAGGCUCUGAAGACGCGGCCUGGCCCUGGCCGUUCGGCCCUUCGUCUGAGCGCAAAGGCUCCAGCACCUCCGCGGCCGAAGCCGCGGGACUUUUCGUGGAAAAUGGGACCCAGCCCGAUCGCCAGCGGCGCUGCAGCGGACUCUGCGGGAACCUAGCUUCUGCUCCAGGACCUCCAGGGCCACCCCAGCUCGCAGGGCGUUCGCAGCGGCUCAGGGCGAAUCACGCUCAUGGUCCCCGUGCGCAUUUUCAGCCCCAGCCGGUACCUCCUUACUCGCCCUCACGACAUUCAUUCCACCCCCUAAAGGUCCUGCCAACCCCAGGCUCUUCCCGAGCAUUCCCGCCCUUCCUCCCUUUUGAAACCGGAGCAAAUCACGGCCGGGCGGAAGCGGGGGAGCCCGGGUGAGAGUCAGUGACUCAGCUGCGGACUCCAAGUGUCGCCGGAGGCCCUGGGGCGCAGGCCCAGCGGGCUGUCGCACAGCUCGGCUGUCCUGUGCCCCUUCCUGACGAGGCUGGGGAGGAAAGGCGGCCCAGAGAAGGCCGGACCAGCUCUCCCCGUCAGCCCCAGGCUCUCGAAUGACAGCGGAUGCCAGCGACCGGGGAUGGGGUCCCGGAAUUGCUGGGUUAAACAAGCUCCGGAUUCAGGCCUGGGCCUGGGCUGGGGUUCCAGGGUUCUGGACCGCCCUCAAAGAAGGAGCUCCCUGGGGCGGCACCUGGCUCUGCUUGAUAGCCCCAGGGACAGGGAGCUCACUACCUAUCAGGGCAGCUCCCCCAGUGCCGAGACCAGCUCGGUCCUGGAGACCCUAACCCAGCGGUGCUAGAGGAAUUAAAGAUACACACAGAAAUAUAGAGGUGUGGAGUGGGAAAUCAGGCGUCUCACAGCCUUCAGAGCUGAGAGCCUCCAACAGAGAUUUACCCACGUGUUUAUUCACAGCAAGCCAGUGAUAAGCACAGUUUCUACAGAUUAUAGAUUAAAAGUACCCCUUAGGGAAACAAAGGGAUGGGCCAAAAUAAAGGGGUGGGUUUGGCUAGUUAUCUGCAGCAGGGGCAUGUCCUUAAGUCACAGAUGGCUCAUGCUAUUGUUUGUGGUUUAAGAACGCCUUUAAGCGGUUUUCUGCCCUGGGUGGGCCAGGUGUUCCUUGCCCUUAUUCCGGUAAACCCACAACCUCCCAGCGUGGGCAUCAUGGCCAUCAUGAACAUGUUACAGUGCUGCAGAGAUUUUGUUUAUGGCCAGAUUUUGGGGGCCUAUUCCCAACACCCUAGCAUUGCUCACACUUGUCCCUGAAGUGUCACCUUGUCGUAGCUGGGCUCUGAGCCCUCUGCCCCAGGGAGGGGUGGCCUUUUGGGCUGAAGGGACUGAGGACAUAGCCGUUGAGCCUGUUGGCCAUUGCUCAAAGAAUGCAGCCUCCUGGUCACCCAUGUUGUCCCCUUGCCAACAAAAAGAGUGAAACACUGUGCAA
ensembl:lncRNA LNCOC1 lncRNA associated with ovarian cancer 1